UGAGGAAUAUUGGUCAAUGGGCGAGAGCCUGAACCAGCCAAGUCGCGUGAAGGAAGAAGGUUCUAUGGAUUGUAAACUUCUUUUGUAAGGGAAUAAAAAGAGUUACGUGUAACUUAUUGUAUGUACUUUACGAAUAAGGAUCGGCUAACUCCGUGCCAGCAGCCGCGGUAAUACGGAGGAUCCAAGCGUUAUCCGGAUUUAUUGGGUUUAAAGGGUGCGUAGGCGGACCCGUUAGUCAGUGGUGAAAGUU
rnacentral:rRNA from 1 species